UAUGUCGCAAGCGUUAUCCGGAAUUAUUGGGCAUAAAGGGCAUCUAGGCGGCCAGACAAGUCUGGGGUGAAAACUUGCGGCUCAACCGCAAGCCUGCCCUGGAAACUGUUUGGCUAGAGUGCUGGAGAGGUGGACGGAACUGCACGAGUAGAGGUGAAAUUCGUAGAUAUGUGCAGGAAUGCCGAUGAUGAAGAUAGUUCACUGGACGGUAACUGACGCUGAAGUGCGAAAGCUGGGGGAGCGAACAGGAUUAGAUACCCUGGUAGUCCCAGCCGUAAACGAUGAUUACUGGGUGUGGGCAUGAAGAGUGUCCGUGCCGAAGCUAAUGCGAUAAGUAAUCCGCCUGGGGAGUACGGCCGCAAGGCUGAAACUCAAAGGAAUUGACGGGGACCCGCACAAGCGGUGGAGCAUGUGGUUUAAUUYGACGCAACGCGAGGAACCUUACCAGAUCUUGACAUCCC
rnacentral:rRNA from 1 species